AAAGGUCUAUGAAAACGAAGGACUCCAUGUAACCAUAUUCGGCGCUUAAAAGAAAAAGGAUUAUUUGGCUUUGGGGAAUAAAGACUUUCAUAUCCAUCUGAAUUCAAAUUUGAUUCAGGAGAUGCUAAAGAGAAAAAAAGAAAAUGGUAACCAGGCUGUAAUGAUGUUAUUUUAGCAUCCAUUGUUAUGCAACUAACAGGCAAAUGACCACUUAAAGUAGCUUUUAACUUAUCAAUUGGCGCUUGAGAUAAGAAAUCCUUUAAAACGACCUUUGCUGACAUCGAUGAUUACUUUCUGAAACGCUUUGCACAUUGACUUUUCAAGUAGGCAAUUUAUCAAUACUGAAGGUGAUCUAUUAGAAAUUAUUAUAAAUUAGCCGAAGCAAUUAUCCCUAAGAAGACCUCAACUUUUAAAAUCGGAAAGGACAAAUCUUUGAAGCAAUAAGCUCUUAAUUUUAUGGAACCUAAUAACUUUAACAGCUACACAUUACUAAUUGCUUUUGGCACGACCCAAAUUGCUUAAGGUAUACGUGUAAUGCUUGUUUUAUACCGUUAGUGGAGACUUGACCUCUUUUAGCAAUGAAGUACUAGCAAAAUUUAUGAUAAUCGCACAUCUAAUAAAAGAUAAUUUCACCAAAUGAAAAAAAAAACCACCUAAGCAAUUAAUAUACGAUUUAAGUCACAUACAUUUAAAUUAAGCCCUUGUUGGUGAAUCUUUAUUAAUUAUUAAUCGUUUAUGAACGCUGAAGUACCUUAACCUGUUAAUUGUAAAGAUCAUUUCUAUAUAAUGUUAAUAGGUCAUCAAUGAGCCGCUUUUUCAUUUUCAAAUCGAAUUUGACAUUGAGGUGUUGAUUUACAUCUAUUGAAAAUGAAGGAGC